AGUCGUAACAAGGUUUCCGUAGGUGAACCUGCGGAAGGAUCAUUAACGAAUCGUGCUUUGACGGUGAUUUAUUAUCACGCCAAACAUAUGUGCUCUCCAGGCAACUGGAGGUGCAAAUAUCAUAUAUAUGAUGUAGUGUAUUAUUAUCCAGUGAAUUUAUUGUUGUUUCACUCUGUGAUGCAAUCAGUAUAAUCAAAAAUGACACUUUUAACAAUGGAUCUCUUGGCUCUU
rnacentral:misc_RNA from 1 species